GCGAAUAUAGUGUAAUGGUAGCACAACUGCCUUCCAAGCAGUUGGUACGGGUUCGAAUCCCGUUGUUCGCUCCA
rnacentral:tRNA from 1 species